CGUCGUGGGAGCUCGAUCUGUGGGGCAAGAACCGCGCGCGCCUGAAUGCGGCCGUGUCGCAGGAAAAGGCCGCCGAAGCCGACUUGCAGCAGGCGCGCGUGACGCUCGCGACGUCGGUCGCGCGCACG
rnacentral:rRNA from 2 species